GCUUACGGCCAUAUCACGUUGGCUGCAUGCCAUCCCGUCCGAUCUGGCAAGUUAAGCAACGUUGAGUGCAGUUAGUUUUUAGAUCGGAGACAGCUUGGAAAUUUUGGAUGUUGUAACCU
rfam:Caenorhabditis tropicalis strain JT1373 unplaced genomic scaffold Scaffold49, whole genome shotgun sequence.